rnacentral:lncRNA from 1 species
UUUUUCCAUCUUUUUACUUUAAAAAAAAAUUAAAAUUACAAAAAAAAACCAUCCCCCUUCUCCUUUCUCUCCCUGACGCCACCUCCCUCUCUCCCUGCACCUUCCUUUUUCCGGUCGCUCCCCUUGCCGCCCUUCCAUUCCUCGCCUGCCGUGAGCUUCCCUCGACAUUGCUAGCCUGUUGCCACCAUCCGCACCGCCUCAUGCCGAAGAGGAAGAGUUGUUCGCAAGGAGGAAGCUUCCUCCCCUACUGCCGCCGUCGAAAUAGCCACCUGCUGCCGUCCUUCGCCAAUCUAAUGCCGGAAUGGAGUCCCUCGCCCUCCAAAAGCUAGGAAUAACUCCUCAUACCCAUUCCUCCUCCGGCAGCCUUGGGAGAGCCUCACCAGACAUCUUCCUUCUCAC